GUAUUUCCCACUAAAUUAUCCAAAAAAAAUCAAGAUCUUCUGUCACAUGACGAAAUCAAAAUCUUCUCUCUCACAUACACACAUUUAAAGAAAUCAAAAUCUUCCCUCUCUCACAUCAAGCCUUAACGAAAUCCAAAUCAUCACUCUUUCUCAAUCUGCGAUGCAAGCCUUAACGAAAACCUAAACGCUUCUCUGAAAACGUGUCAAACCCAUAGCCUCAACCCCAAAUCUAAAACCUUCUUCUGGCCUUUUCUCCUCAACAAGCCCCCACUCUCUCUAUGUAGGACAAAUGUGUAAUCAAAGUGCCCCUCUCUCUCUCUCUCUCUGUAGCACAAA
rnacentral:lncRNA from 1 species